rnacentral:rRNA from 1 species
GACAGAGGAGCCAAGCGUUGUCCGGAUUGACUGGGCGUAAAGCGCACGCAGGCGGCCGUGCACGUGGGGUGUAAAAGCGCUCGGCUUAACUGAGCGAUGCCACCUCAUACGGCAGGGCUCGAGCCCGUGAGAGGUCCACGGAAUUGCCGGUGUAGUGGUGAAAUGCGUAGAGAUCGGCAGGAACACCCAGGGGGAAACCAGUGGACUGGCACGGUGCUGACGCUCAGGUGCGAAAGCGUGGGGAGCGAACCGG